AUGUAUUCAGCAAACUGUUCAUUCUUACAGUGUUACAGAAAUUUAAACAGUCUUAAGUAUGGAAAACUUAUGAACACCCCUUUGAAAGCAUACACCUUGCCCCAGUUUCUGCUGCAACCAAAGGAGACUCCAACUCUCCAAUUCCAAUUUUGCAGGCACUUCGCAGAAUUGCUUUUUUCCACGAUAAUGAGCAAGAACGGGGUCCUGGAGCCCUCUGGUGGAUGUCUUGCAGAAGACAGGCAGCUGAAAGCGGUCUGGUUCUGCUAAGGAAGCCUCUGGCAUGGCUUCAGGGGAAUGUUCAGGAACCAUUUUGAUGAAUUCCAAUUAAGAGUCUUCCUGACACCAGGGGACGCAGAGGUCAAAGAAUGCCCUGUGCAGCACAGCAACAGACCACACAGCGCACAGCUCAAGGUAAGAAAGUGGCGUAACGGUAAAACAGAACAGAAAAUUCCUGAAGAUGUGAAAGGGCUUUGAAUGUGGAAGAAUCUUCAAGUGAAUUGUUCGGCUAAGAUUUCUGCCUAAAGCCCAAAAGAACUUGACUCUUGUAUCCUCAUGGAGAAAAUAAUGGAAUGACAAUAAUGUUUUGCAUUAUUACAUAGUGAUUAAUCUGGAAUGUAAGGUUUGCAGAGUUGGUCUCUCUGUUUAGCAGGGCACAAGAAACUUGUCAUACCAACACUGUAGCAUUAACUGAGCUAAACUGGAGCUCUCCAGUGAGUCUGAGGGACUUAACCUCAAUGUAAAUAACUCCAUCUGGCUGUACAGUUGAGAAAAGAUGGUGACUUUGGACAGAAAGGUAAAAUGUACUUGCUAGAACUAAGAGCCAUGGAUGCUUAUGUAAAGAAGUUGGUUGCUAUCAGUAUUGUGCACUAUCAAAUACUGGGGGUGCACUGGAAUUCCCAGCAGAGACCACUGUGAGUAGUAGGUUACUACUCUGGGAGCUCAGAGGGCAGCAUGAAGGGGCUGUUUCUCACCAUCGUUAUUCCAGAAACUUAAAAUUAUCCACGGAGGAGAUAUGGAUCAUGCUCACAAAACAGUGAUGAGUAAUGCUUUUGUUUUCAGACUGUUUACAUCCCUCCUUCUAAUGACCAUGUUAUUCUCUCUUUGACCUCUUCAGUCUGGGCUGUAUUUUAGGUGACUUGUUCACCAUGAUUCCCAAAUGUUCUGGUGUCUCUGUCUCUUCUGAGGAAAUGGUUGAUAUCUGUUCCCAGUCUGAUUUUGUGAAGGCAAACAGAUAUCAGAGAAAAUAAAGAUAUUGAUUUCUUGCUUUCA
rnacentral:lncRNA from 1 species